rnacentral:rRNA from 1 species
UGCUUAACACAUGCAAGUCGAGCGGUAAGGCCCUUCGGGGUACACGAGCGGCGAACGGGUGAGUAACACGUGGGUGAUCUGCCCUGUACUUCGGGAUAAGCCUGGGAAACUGGGUCUAAUACCGGAUAUGACCUUACAUCGCAUGGUGUUUGGUGGAAAGAUUUAUCGGUACAGGAUGGGCCCGCGGCCUAUCAGCUUGUUGGUGGGGUAAUGGCCUACCAAGGCGACGACGGGUAGCCGGCCUGAGAGGGCGACCGGCCACACUGGGACUGAGACACGGCCCAGACUCCUACGGGAGGCAGCAGUGGGGAAUAUUGCACAAUGGGCGAAAGCCUGAUGCAGCGACGCCGCGUGAGGGAUGACGGCCUUCGGGUUGUAAACCUCUUUCGACAGGGACGAAGCGCAAGUGACGGUACCUGUAGAAGAAGCACCGGCCAACUACGUGCCAGCAGCCGCGGUAAUACGUAGGGUGCGAGCGUUGUCCGGAAUUACUGGGCGUAAAGAGCUUGUAGGCGGUUUGUCGCGUCGUCCGUGAAAACUUGGGGCUCAACCCCAAGCUUGCGGGCGAUACGGGCAGACUUGAGUACUGCAGGGGAA